rnacentral:rRNA from 1 species
AUUCCAGCUCCAAUAGCGUAUAUUAAAGUUGUUGCAGUUAAAAAGCUCGUAGUUGGAUUUCUGGUUUGAUGCCCUGGCCCGCUUCAAAUUUUGGAGUGUGUGCCGGCUGUGCGUCUGCCAUCCUUCUAGAAAACGUUCGUACCCUUCACUGGGCCGCGUUCGAGAUCUAGAUCUUUUACUUUGAAAAAAUUAGAGUGUUUAAAGCAGGCAGUUGCUAUGAAUACAUUAGCAUGGAAUAAUAAUCUAGGACUUCGGUUCUAUUUUGUUGGUUUCUAGUACUGAAGUAAUGAUUGAUAGGGAUAGUUGGGGGUGCUAGUAUUGAGCGGCCAGAGGUGAAAUUCUUGGAUUUAUGGAAGACAAACUAAUGCGAAAGCAUCUACCAAGGAUGUUUUCAUCG